AGAGGAAUUUCAUCAAACUUGGAUUUUGUAAGUAGUUGCGAAUGAACACAAACAUGUUCAACCUCAAAAUUGGUGUGCUCCAUGUGUGCACUGACUUGUUUCAGAGUUCAUCACUAUCAAAGCUGCAUGCAAAUGAUUUUUGAAAGGAUACAACAUGGGAUGUGACAUUCAUGUCUGUGUGCUUGCUUCGAUUACAGUGUGUGCUCUAUGAUUCACAUUUCUUGUAACUGAAAUGCAAAUUGCAUGGUAAAGUUCAUGUGAUGUGAUAUGUGUUUGAGAUUCAUGAUGUGCAAGUACCAUGAGGGAAAUGUGAAAAGGACUUUGAAAAGAGAAUUAAACAAAGCCUGCAUUUGCUGAUUGUAAACGUAAGUGAGGAUUGUAAUAGUAAUGUCUCUGCAUCAGUUGACACGUUUAAUGUGUUGUUGCAUGCUUGGCAUUAUGUUCAGCACCACUGAGUGUGCGUACUAGCUUUGAUUGAACUGAUUUCAUGUGGAACUGUUGAAUGAAGAUGCAUGUACACUUGUGUGAAGUAAUGUAUGCACCAGCUGUGAUCAUGCAUUGUCUGCAUGUGUUUUCAUGUGCUUCCUUGCUAAUUCUUGAUGUCACUUGGCAUAUUAUAACUACCCUCACUUGAC
rnacentral:rRNA from 1 species